GCUCUGGCUGGCCAGUGCAGAAUGGAUCAGGGGCUGCAGGCUCGGUGAGGUCGGUCUUGCAGACAAGCGACAGGCAUCAGGGAAGAAGGUGGCUCCCGGCCACACACAUACACAUAUAUAAACACACAAACAAACACACACACACACACAUAUAUAUACACACACACAGACACCAUACACACACCGGCUUCUACAAACACACACACAUACACCUAUUCACACAAGCACACACACAUGCACAGUAGCAUACACAAAUGCAGACACACUCACUGGAAUACACAGCAGCCUGAAUAGAGAC